AGAUUACUGCUAUCGGUGUUCGCGUAAGCCAUGCGAGUCAUAUGUUCGUAAGAACAUGGCGUACUGCUCAGUAACACGUGGACAACCUACCCUUAGGCCUGGGAUAACCCCGGGAAACUGGGAAUAAUACCGGAUAUCUCGCGAAUGCUGGAAUGCGUCGCGAUAGAAAGCUCCGGCGCCUAAGGAUGGGUCUGCGGCCUAUCAGGGUAGUAGUGGGUGUAACGUACCUACUAGCCUACGACGGGUACGGGUUGUGAGAGCAAGAGCCCGGAGAUGGAUUCUGAGACACGAAUCCAGGCCCUACGGGGUGCAGCAGGCGCGAAAACUUUACAAUGCUGGAAACAGCGAUAAGGGGACCUCGAGUGCCGGGAUACAAUCCUGGCUGUCGUAAUGCCUAAAAAGCAUUGCAUAGCAAGGGCCGGGCAAGACCGGUGCCAGCCGCCGCGGUAACACCGGCGGCUCGAGUGGUAACCGCUAUUAUUGGGUCUAAAGGGUCUGUAGCCGGCUGACUAAGUCUCUUGGGAAAUCUGGCAGCUUAACUGUCAGGCUUUCAGGAGAUACUGAUCGGCUCGAGACCGGGAGAGGUGAGAGGUACCUCAGGGGUAGGGGUGAAAUCUUGUAAUCCUUGAGGGACCACCAGUGGCGAAGGCGUCUCACCAGAACGGAUCUGACGGCAAGGGACGAAAGCUAGGGGCACGAACCGGAUUAGAUACCCGGGUAGUCCUAGCCGUAAACGAUACUCGCUAGGUGUCGGCCACGGUGCGACCGUGGUCGGUGCCGUAGGGAAGCCGUGAAGCGAGCCACCUGGGAAGUACGGCCGCAAGGCUGAAACUUAA
rnacentral:rRNA from 1 species